UACAGAGGGUGCAAGCGUUAAUCGGAAUUACUGGGCGUAAAGCGCGCGUAGGUGGUUUGUUAAGUUGGAUGUGAAAGCCCCGGGCUCAACCUGGGAACUGCAUCCAAAACUGGCAAGCUAGAGUACAGUAGAGGGUGGUGGAAUUUCCUGUGUAGCGGUGAAAUGCGUAGAUAUCAAGUGGAACACCAGUGGCGAAGGCGAGUCCCUGGACAACUCCUGACACUGAGGCACGAAAGCUAGGGGAGCAAACAGG
rnacentral:rRNA from 1 species